GGCAGCCCGACGUCGGAGCUCGGGAAAGACACUCUGCACCAAGAUGUCCCGCUCUGCGUGCAUGUCUCUGAAGGUGGAGGAGAUGAAGACGCGAACACCUUUCCACCUGAGAGAUGAGGGGACAGGAUGGAGGAGAUGAUUCCUGACCUUUGCCUGCUUAACAACACUUCUGACAUUGUCCAAGAGGACGUCCGACUUCAGGUCGACGUCGUCCCCCGUCAUACCAUUGAUUAAGCAGAGCUGGGUGUCUUCAGCGCUGCUCCGUAUCAUCAGAGACAGCAAAACUGCCACCUCCAUCAUCUGACAAAGGUCUGGUGGGAGGCAGAAGUCUGUCUUCUGUUCAAACUUACAAUAUUGUAAUGAAUCGGUGCAGAGCAUGAUGAAGGUUCGUCCAGGAAGUGGAGGGACGUUGUACCGGCAGGAAAUCUGAACCGCCGUCUCCAGAGCUUUUCGGUAGCGUUGCAACAGAGCAAGAGUGAAGUUUCUCUGACUGCAUUCACAGGACAUAAAUGUAUCACAGAUGUGGAAUCUCACCCAAAUCCUGGAGCUCCAUGAUGACCUUAUAGGCAGCGAGGAACCUAAAGGGAAACUGUCGGCUCUGAAUGACUGCUUUCUGUUGAUGGACAUGGAACAAACACUCAGGUUCCUCAACAUGGCCAUGAAUGGGAGAGAAUUGUUGUCUGUAUGGUGAACACACAGUGUGUUACAGAUGGACAGUAUCAUCAAACACAGGCUGGUGUUUGUUUGGCAAGCAAAAAGGUAUUUCUUAUAUUAAUUAUUAUUAAUUAUUAUACACAAUAUUAUAUAAUAUAUUUACAGUUGUUAUAACUGAAACUAUUUUACUAGAUAGCUUGGAAGAAAUGUCACAAAAAUGUUGAAGAAUUUUAAAAAAUCAUGUAAAAUUAUAUAUGCUUGAAAACGCUCUU